UGGAGCGACAGGAAACCAUGACGGCGGCGGGAUUAGGCCGCCGCUCCGUUUUCACUGACCAGACAAAAACCUUCCAGCAAACAAAGAGCAGAGAAACAUUCCAGCUCCGCUUCACACAAAGCAGCACAUCAACGAGGUCACCUGACUGCGACCUUUAGGACAUACGGCAGCAGAACACGGUUUAAACUUCACACGUCAGCAAGAAGCAAAGAUCAGGAUUUAAACACAGAAAUCCAUAAAUACUAGACAACAAAAACAGCAAGUUAGCUUUAAUGCAAAAAAAGUUCAUCUUAAUAAGUAACUUUUACCUAAAAAUAAGUGCAAUUUUUCCUGAAUUUAGAAGUGUGGUUCAGAUGGUGGAAACCGACCAAUCAGGUCAUCAUUGAAUCAUAUGAGGACGUCUGCAGGGCGGUUCUGUUGGGUCAUCAACCAGCAGGUCGUUUUUUCCUCUGAAUCUAGAAAACCUCCUGAGUUUUAAAUCCUUAUUUUGCUCUUAUUUAUUUACAGCUGUGGUGUAAUUUCAUUAUUUUACCAGAAUAUUCAAACACAAAUAUUUUAA